ACGCUCGACACCUACGGGAGGCAGCAGUGGGGAAUAUUGCACAAUGGGCGAAAGCCUGAUGCAGCAACGCCGCGUGAGCGAAGAAGGCCUUCGGUCGUAAAGCUCUGUCCUCAAGGAAGAUAAUGACGGUACUUGAGGAGGAAGCCCGGCUAACUACGUGUCAGCAGCCGCGGUAAUCUGAGCGGGCUGGCAAGGC
rnacentral:rRNA from 1 species